GUCAAGACACAAUGUGUCAGUUCCCUUGCACUUAAGUUGAAAUUUUUCUAUUAUGUAAAUUAGAGUAAUUCAGAAUAUCACCGGCUAAUAAGAAGAUGCAAAUGAUCAUAAAUGACUAGCUUCUUGUACUUUUCUUUAAUUUUGUGCUAAUGUUAUUUUUUUUUCUGACUGGAUUUUUGACAUGUAACUUUACCCUGGUAUAGUUUUCACUCAUUUACUUGAUCGUACUUUUACCAGGGAGGUCUUCUGAGGUUAGAGGAAUUGGUAAAUGUAGCACCGAUGCUUCCAUGGAGGCACCCAUCACUCCAUCCGUCAACGUAGAUUAUACUCAGCUUCUAAUUAAUGGACAAUUUGGAGAUUCUGCAUCAACAUUGGAGUAAUCAGCAUGUUUUCAAGCAUUCAUAUCAUUUUCCGGUUCCUUCGCGUGACGCUUUGAUUUGGUCUCAGGGAAAACUAUUCCCACAUUGGAAACCCAGACCGGGGACGUGAUUGCUCACGCUGCUGAAGGCGAUGCUGAAGAUGUAAACCGCGCAGUUUCUGCUGCCCCCAAGGCCUUUGAUGAAGGACCGUGGCCAAAGAUGACAGCUUAUGUAACUACUCAUUUUACGAGAGUUUUAUUCAAAUUUUCUAAUAUAACAUCUUUUCGCAGGAAAGAUCACGCGUCCUUUUCCGCUUCGCUGAUUUGAAUGGAUAGCACAGUGAUGAAAUUGCCGCCCUUGAGUUGAGACUUGGGAUAAUGGGAAGCCAUUUGAACAGGCUGCUGAAAUUGAAGCAAAAAUGCUUUCUUUUCGUUACCAUGCUGGCUCAAGCGUAACUUCUCUGAACUCAUGAGGAACAAAUGUUGCUUGAGGCUGCAACGAAUUCGAGUAAUAGUGGUUGGGCUGCUAGUGUUCCAGUUUGCACCAAAUUUUCAUAUGAAUGCAAUUUUUCUGCUAAAAAGUUAUCGUUGAUCCCUCCACAGGUUGCGUUUACUGGAUCAACUGACACUGGUAAAAAAAUUACUUGAAUUGGCUGCCAAAGGCAAUCUUAAGACGGUAACUGGAGCUCGGCGGGAGAUCCCAGAUUAUUGGUCAAUGCUGCUGCGCUGGUUCUCGUACUUUUGUACAUGAAAAAGUAUAUGACGAGUUCAUAGAGAAAGCAAAGGCUCAUGCUGAGAGACGCGUUGUUGGAGACCCGUCCGAGGGGGGCGUUGAGCAAGGUCCUCAGGUAGACAAGUGACAGCUCUAACUCAGACCAUUAAACACGUUGCUGUCCAAAAUUGUUCCACAGCCUCACAUGCAUUUCCGGUUUUGUAUUCUAAUCAUACCGAUUCAGACCAAUUGGAGAAGAUCCCAAAGUACGUAGAUUAUGGUGUUAAAGGUGGAGCUAAAAUGGAAGCGGAGGAGAGAGGCUUGGCACAAAGGGUAUCCAUAUUAAGCCCACUGUAUUAUCAGAUGUUCAGGUACUAAUCAACAUAAAAACCAUAAUAUUUACCGGAACAUGAUUAUGAUUGAUCUAAACAUUGUUGUCUCAUGGGGUUGGAUGACAUGCCAAUAGCUCGUGAGUAGAUAUUUGGUUCGGUGCAUAUCAUCUUGAAAUAAAAAGGAUCUUAAUGAGGUGAUACGAAGGGAAAAAAUAACUCUCACUAUGGAAAAUAACUCUCGUUAUGGACUUGCUGCAGGGGUCUUUACACAAAACAUACACUGAAACAUAUUGACUUGCGCAGUGCGUUGGCAGUGUAUUUAUAAACUGCUUCGAUGUCGUUGAUGCUCUAUUCCUUUCGGAGGGUACAAGAUGAGUGGAAUUGGAAGAGAAAAGGGCAUUUACGGUCUUUCCAAUUACUUGCAAGUCAAGGCUGUUGUCACUGCCAAAAAUAAAUUGAGAGUACUGCAUCAGAAUAUGUGGCUGUGAUCUCAUGAUGGCAUUGGGGUGGUGAUGAUAAAAUCUUUGCUUCUUUGUGAUGAACUAUAGAAAUUUUUCUGUUGAAUUUACUGUUGGUUAAGUUAAUCAGUAGGUUAGUGGUUGGUCUAAUAUGACAAUCAACUUUCUGUGGUUUGUUGAGGCAUCACUUUCUCCUUUUCCAAUCACAUUUUACAGCUCAAGGUACAUGAAUUUUGUGUCUUACACUAUUUGUCAUUAAUAGUAGGUUGGUUAGGUUCUGAUAAUUAUGAUUCGCUGAUCGAACCAGAUGCCAAUUAAACCCCAAACGUUUUACCGUUUCAUUGUAUCACAAAGUUAACAAGUUACAGAGAUACUGGCAACCAAUUCACUGUUUAUU